UUUGGAGCUAACUGCACUCAGAAAUGUAACUGCAGAGAUGCCACAGCGUGCGAAAAGGAGUCUGGAUUUUGUGCCGAAGUUGAAGGAAUAUGUGACAUUGGAUAUCUUUCUGAUUCUGUUGAUUUCCCAUCAAGCUGUAUAAAAUUUUCUGGAUGCUACAGCUCUUGUUCAAAGACAUGUCAUUGUUCUGGUGGUGCUGAGGAUUGUAACUUUCUGACUGGUGAUUGUUUGUCAUCCAUCUGUCAUCCAAGAUGGAUAGGGGAUCAUUGCCAAACAGAUCGCUUUGAGACGAGCUCGGAGAAGACCAACCCAGGAGUGGCGAUCUUCUCUUGUUCGUUCACGGCGUCACCAGGGCAAGCUCUCAGCCCCGCGGACAUCAAGGCUGCUCUUGGGGACUUUUUUGCAGCGAGCUGGAUUUCACAAAGCAGCUCUAUAUACAUAGAUAGAACCCUCAACAAUUCAUUUAUUCACGUCGAUGUGGGACCAGAGAAAGCAAUUUACUGCUUCGUCGGAGAUCCUGAAAUCCCUUCAGAGUUCGUGUUCAUAAGGCUACCUCCAAGACAAU